GUUGACCUCGGAUCAGGUAGA
rnacentral:rRNA from 3 species